AGUGAACGCUGGCGGUAGGCCUAACACAUGCAAGUCGAACGGCAGCACAGUAAGAGCUUGCUCUUACGGGUGGCGAGUGGCGGACGGGUGAGGAAUACAUCGGAAUCUACUUUUUCGUGGGGGUUAACGUAGGGAAACUUACGCUAAUACCGCAUACGACCUACGGGUGAAAGCAGGGGAUCUUCGGACCUUGCGCGAUUGAAUGAGCCGAUGUCGGAUUAGCUAGUUGGCGGGGUAAAGGCCCACCAAGGCGACGAUCCGUAGCUGGUCUGAGAGGAUGAUCCGCCACCCUGGAACUGAGACAGGGUCCAUACGCCUACGGGAGGCAGCAGUGGGGAACAUUGGACAACGGGCGCAAGCAUGAUCCAGCCAUACCGCGUGGGUGAAGAAGGCCUUCGGGUUGUAAAGCCCUUUUGUUGGGAAAGAAAAGCAGCAGGUUAAUACCCCGCUGUUCUGACGGUACCCAAAGAAUAAGCACCGGCUAACUUCGUG
rnacentral:rRNA from 1 species